UGGGGCAUUGGACUUUUUCCUUUCUAUUUGUUUCUUUUAUUUGUUGUUUUGACCAUUUUGAAUUGUCUCUGUUUGUAUGGUUAUAGUGGUCAUUGGAUUUAGUUCAAGAAUGGCUGGAAGAAAAUGUGUCAAGAUGAUGACGACGACUCCGGAUUCGAGUAUAAGCAGAAUUGCUACAUAUCAGCCAUUUGACGGGUUGUUGGAGUUGAAAGUGAAACUGAUUGUCUACAGGUGAUAUGGGGAGAAGUCAACAAGUUUUUAGAUGAAGCUGUAAGAGGAAAUUAUGGACUUUUCAACCAGUCUUUGGUGUUAAAAUGGGUAUUCUACAAGUCUGUGUUACAAGUGAUUUUGGGUAUUGCUAUAUUGACACUGUGUGUAGAUCCAAUCAUGGAUAACAUUAUACGACUAGCGCAGGCAAUUGGAGUGCCUUCUUUCUUCCUACCAUUUGCCAUAGUAGCUCUUGCUAUCAAUGCAAGAACUACAAUAACAACAAUAACUUUAUUGUCUUCAGCAAAACAAUAGAGUUCCACAACUUUAUCUUUUGCUGAAGUAUUGGUAUCUAUGGUGAUCUUUGUUGUAAUUGGCACUUUUGCUUUCAUCUCUACCACUUAUCCACUUUAGACUUGUAUUGUAGCUUUCUUGUUUUAUCCUAUAGCACUUGUACAUUGUUUUAUUCAAGACAAUCGUUGUAAAUUAUCUUAGAUAUUCAAUUAUGAUAAUGUAAUUGUGUGGUUGGAGUGAAUCUUAGAACAUUGAAGGUUUUAUGUUUAAAUUUAAUUUUGGAGUUUGAAGAUACUAGUUAAUGUUGAAAAUUUGGAGUUUGAAGAUGUUAAUGUUGAAAA